rnacentral:rRNA from 1 species
UACGAAGGGGGCUAGCGUUGCUCGGAAUUACUGGGCGUAAAGCGCACGUAGGCGGACUAUUAAGUCAGGGGUGAAAUCCCGGGGCUCAACCCCGGAACUGCCUUUGAUACUGGUAGUCUUGAGUUCGAGAGAGGUGAGUGGAAUUCCGAGUGUAGAGGUGAAAUUCGUAGAUAUUCGGAAGAACACCAGUGGCGAAGGCGGCUCACUGGACUGGUAUUGACGCUGAGGUGCGAAAGCGUGGGGAGCGAACAGG